UACGAAGGGGGCUAGCGUUGUUCGGAAUUACUGGGCGUAAAGCGUGCGCAGGCGGCUUUGCAAGACAGAUGUGAAAUCCCCGGGCUCAACCUGGGAACUGCAUUUGUGACUGCAUGGCUAGAGUGCGGCAGAGGGGGAUGGAAUUCCGCGUGUAGCAGUGAAAUGCGUAGAUAUGCGGAGGAACACCGAUGGCGAAGGCAAUCCCCUGGGCCUGCACUGACGCUCAUGCACGAAAGCGUGGGGAGCAAACAGG
rnacentral:rRNA from 1 species